GAGCUAGCAGCUUCCAACAUGUAACCCCUGCUCGGCUUCACCAGUCUGCCCUCUGCACCAUCAAAGCCUCUCUAGACCAUGAUCGUGGAGUGGACUGUCUGUGGACCAUCAUGGGUUCCUGUGGCAACAGCUCUAGAGGUUCUCUUGGGGCUGGCACGCCCCAGCUCCUCCCAUCUGGGCAGAUGCCGGACUCCCAAGCCCGCCUUGGGAGGGAUUACCGACCCCUCAUCUAUGGUCCACCUUGAAGCCUUUCUCCUGGCCAUGGCCUCCCUGGGGGACUGUGGCUGUCCUAGGACCUGUGCUGGGUCAUUGUACGUGGCCUCCCCCACCGCCCCCAGAGAUUCCUUCACACAUGGACGUGGGGUGUGCCGGCAGGACUAGGAGGAGGCGUCUGCCCUGUCAGUACAAUGGAAAAUAAAGUCCUCUGCCGUUUGUCA